UAAACUUAUGACUUUUAAUUGAACCACAAACUGCUUUUAGCAUAACUCAUGCAUCAUGUUUAUGCCAUAGGUUGCUUGCAUUAGUAUUCACGAAUCUGUUGCAUUGCAUCGUUAUUUGGUGAUGUGAGUGAAUGCUGAAUGAUCCAAUAGUCUCAGACAGGAAGUCCAGGAGCCUUUGACUACGCCCUGGCAGGUAUAGAGAAGUCCAGGAGCCUUUGACUACGCCCUGGCAGGUAUAUAGUAAAGUCCAGGAGCCUUUGACUACGCCCUGGCAAUGGUAAGUACACAGGUGUUAUAUACACAUAUACAUAUAUGACAGGAAGACCAGGUGCUCGAUUCUACGCCCUGGCACAGAGCUACUGGGACUAUGUGGUGACAGGUUUACUCUUGAUGUGGCUUGUCUGUGAUAUGGUGCAUUCCAUGAGAUCAUAUUUUACUGAG
rnacentral:lncRNA from 1 species